CCAAAUCCUCCUCCUCAGACCAUCUUGCUCCAAAAAAGUCAAACAAGAGGCGUCGGAUCAAGCUCUCCUCCACCUGAGACCUCGUAUCAUCCCGUAGGGAUCUAAUCAUGCUCCUCUGUGGCCUAAUGAUGGUAGACCUAUGGAAGAAACAGGUGUUCCUAUCCCCCUCCUGCAGCCACCAGACCUUGAACUUCAGCCGCCAAAACACCUCCUGUUGCCUCAAAAGAGAGUGAUGCUCUGCAAGCCUCUGUCGGAGAGAGCCCAUAUCAUCAUCCGAUAAACCACCCAAAUUGUCCUCCCUCCCCUGUAACUCCAAAAUAGAAGCCUCCACCUCCUCCAAUCUCCUGAAAAUGUCCCCCACCGUCUUUCGAUUCCAUCUACGUAGUCUGCGCUUGGUGAGCUCCAACCUAUGAAAAAUCCGCUACAUGGCAUCACCCUGAACCGGCAUGGCCCAAGCUUGUCGCACCAACAUCCAGGAGUGGGGGUACUCCAACCACAGUCUCUCAAACCGAAAUGGCGGGCCAUGGUACAAAUGGUCAGCUGUAGAGAUCAUGAGAGGGCAGCGGUCAGAAGCAAUCUGAGCUAGAUGGCGCACCUGGAAGGUCGAAAAUCGCUAAAUCUAGCCCAAGGAAGCAACAAUCCUGUCGAUCCUCUCCCACACCCUAGCACGGCCUUUUCUGUUGUUGCACCAAGUGAACUAUGCCCCCGUAAAACCAAGGUCCACCAAGCCAUUCCUAGACAGGAAUUCCCUGAACUCCCUCCUCUCCACCUUACCAGUGUACUCACUACCCCCCUCUUCUUAGCCGGUCCCACAAUACAGUUGAAGUCCCCGGCUAACAGAGUAGGGGCCCUCUAGGAAACAACAGUAGAGGCCUCAUCCCACAGAAUCCUCCUUGACCUGCAAUCAGUACAAGCAUACAUGCCACAAAAAACCCAAGAAGCAGCAUUGGGUUCAAAGAUUACCGUAAUCACUU
rnacentral:lncRNA from 1 species